rnacentral:rRNA from 1 species
CGCAAGCCUGACGGAGCAACGCCGCGUGUGGGAAGAAGGCUCUUGGGCUGUCAACCACUUUUCUCAGGGAAGAAGCCCUGACGGUACCUGAGGAAUCAGCCUCGGCUAACUCCGUGCCAGCAGCCGCGGUAAUACGGAGGAGGCAAGCGUUAUCCGGAAUUAUUGGGCGUAAAGCGUCCGCAGGGGGCACAUCAAGUCUGCUGUUAAAGGCUGGAGCUUAACUCCGGUAGAGCAGUGGAAACUGGUGUGCUAGAGGGCGACAGGGGUAGAGGGAAUUCCCAGUGUAGCGGUGAAAUGCGUAGAGAUUGGGAAGAACAUCGGUGGCGAAAGCGCUCUACUGGGUCGCACCUGACCCUCAGGGACGAAAGCUAAGGUAGCG